rnacentral:rRNA from 1 species
UUUAACUGAAGAGUUUGAUCAUGGCUCAGAUUGAACGCUGGCGGCAGGCUUAACACAUGCAAGUCGAGCGGGGGAAGGUAGCUUGCUACUGGACCUAGCGGCGGACGGGUGAGUAAUGCUUAGGAAUCUGCCUAUUAGUGGGGGACAACAUCUCGAAAGGGAUGCUAAUACCGCAUACGUCCUACGGGAGAAAGCAGGGGAUCUUCGGACCUUGCGCUAAUAGAUGAGCCUAAGUCGGAUUAGCUAGUUGGUGGGGUAAAGGCCUACCAAGGCGACGAUCUGUAGCGGGUCUGAGAGGAUGAUCCGCCACACUGGG